CUCGCCGGCGAGAGGACGUCUGAAGCGGGCCGUAACCGAAUAUUCCGGCUCCGACACGGCAGUAAACGGCUGAUAAGGCGGCGAAAGGGAGGUUUAUGAUGGGUUUUCUGAACGCCAUUUGGAGCAUUUCCGGAUUCUUUGUCGGAAUUUCAGGGGUAUUUUUGUAAUUUUAAGACGAACGUAGAUGAGACUGAAAGUAAAAAAGGAGCACAAGUUGUGAUGUGGGAAUAAAGAUGAUAGCUCUUUCACA